GACGAACGCUGGCGGCGUGCCUAAUACAUGCAAGUCGAGCGAACAGACGAGGAGCUUGCUCCCCUGACGUUAGCGGCGGACGGGUGAGUAACACGUGGAUAACCUACUUAUAAGACUGGGAUAACUUCGGGAAACCGGAGCUAAUACCGGAUAAUAUAUUGAACUGAAUGGUUCAAUAGUGAAUGACGGUUUUGCUGUCUCAUAUAGAUGGAACCGCGCCGCAUUAGCGAGUUGGUAAAGUAACGGCUUACCAAGGGACCGAUCCGUGGCCGAACUGAGAGGAGGAUCGGCCACCCUGGAACUGAACCACGCUCCAGCCUCCUCCGGGAGGCAGCAGAGGGGAAUCUUCCGCAAUGGGCGAAAGCCUGGCGGAGCAACGCCGCGUAAGUGAUAAAGUUCUUCGGUUCGUAAGCCUCUGUUAUUAGGGAGGAACAAAUGUAUAAGUAACAAUGCACGUCUUGACGGUACCUGAUCAGAAAGCCACGGCUAACUACGUG
rnacentral:rRNA from 1 species